rnacentral:rRNA from 1 species
GAUGAACGCUGGCGGCAUGCCUAAUACAUGCAAGUCGAACGAGAGGAAGGAAAGCUUGCUUUCCUGAAUCUAGUGGCGAACGGGUGAGUAACACGUAGGUAACCUGCCCAUGUGCCCGGGAUAACUUCUGGAAACGGAUGCUAAAACCGGAUAGGUAGCAGACAAGCAUUUGACUGCUAUUAAAGUGGCCUUGGCCAUGAACAUGGAUGGACCUGCGGUGCAUUAGCUAGUUGGUGAGGUAACGGCCCACCAAGGCGACGAUGCAUAGCCGGCCUGAGAGGGCGGACGGCCACAUUGGGACUGAGACACGGCCCAAACUCCUACGGGAGGCAGCAGUAGGGAAUUUUCGUCAAUGGGGGGAACCCUGAACGAGCAAUGCCGCGUGAGUGAGGAAGGUCUUCGGAUCGUAAAGCUCUGUUGUAAGAGAAAAACGACAUUCAUAGGGAAUGAUGAGUGAGUGAUGGUAUCUUACCAGAAAGUCACGGCUAACUACGUGCCAGCAGCCGCGGUAACAC